rnacentral:misc_RNA from 1 species
UAUGCUCACAAACUAGUCAAACAACACAGCCUUGGAUUCCAAUCUUGCACAGAGUAUAUGAAUGGAAUGAAAGAUGAAAAUAAUCAGAUGUUUGUAUUCUGUAAUAUGAAAUUAAGGCUUUGGCAUAAUGAGGAACUAGACGAAGAUGUUGCUGACGUGCCGCAUUUAUUUCCACCGUGUAUCUAUUCUACUGCUAUCUGAACAUCUCAUCAGCUGAGUAUUGGUGUUUAAGGCUCCAUUUUAAUUCGGAGCUUGGAG